rnacentral:misc_RNA from 1 species
GAUGAAGAACGCAGCGAAACGCGAUAGUUAAUGUGAAUUGCAGAAUUCAGUGAAUCAUCGAGUCUUUGAACGCACAUUGCGCCCAUUGGUAUUCCGUUGGGCAUGUCUGUUUGAGCGUCAUUACAACAGUUCAGCGUAAGCUGGUUAUGAGUUCUGUUUUUUUAAACAAAAAACAGGCUUUAAAAUGUAUGUUCUGCAGGUCGCUUUGCUAAACCCUAAACAUUAAAUACUGUUCUAGUGAAGCAUUUGCGACUCUGCCUGAAAAAAAACUUUUGUUAAAGUUUGACCUCAGAUCAGACAAGGAUACCCGCUGAACUUAAGCAUAUCAAUAAGCGGUGGA